rnacentral:rRNA from 1 species
UGGGCAACCUGCCCUCAGCUCUGGGAUAACUCCAAGAAAUUGGGGCUAAUACCG